UCCUAGUGGCUUAGAUGGUAAAGCGUCUGUCUGCAAUGCAGGAGACCCGGGUUUGAUCCCUGGGUUGGGAA
rnacentral:tRNA from 1 species